rnacentral:rRNA from 1 species
GAUGAACGCUGGCGGCGUGCCUAAUACAUGCAAGUCGAGCGAACAGACGAGGAGCUUGCUCCUCUGACGUUAGCGGAACAAGGGUGUGUCACACGUGGAUAAUCUACCUAUAAGACUGGGAUAACUUCGGGAAACCGGAGCUAAUACCGUAUAAUAUAUUGAACCGCAUGGUUCGAUAGUGAAAGACGGUUUUGCUGUAACUUAUCGAUGGAUCCGCGCCGCAUUAGCUAGUUGGUAGGGUAACGGCUUACCAAGGCGACGAUGCGUAGCCGACCUGAGAGAGGGGUCGGCCACAUGGGAACUGGAACACGGUCCAGACGCCUACGAGAGGCAGCAGUAGGGAACCGUCCGCAGUGGUCGAAAGCCUGACGGAGCAGCGCCGCGUGAGUGAUAAAAGUCUUCGGUUCGUGAAGAGCGGUUAUGAGUGAUGAACAAAUGUGUAAUGAACUAUGGACGUCGUGACGGUACCUAGUCAGAAAGCAACGGCUAACUACGUG